rnacentral:rRNA from 1 species
GAUGAACGCUGGCGGCGUGCCUAAUACAUGCAAGUCGAGCGAACAGACGAGGAGCUUGCUCCUCUGACGUUAGCGGCGGACGGGUGAGUAACACGUGGAUAACCUACCUAUAAGACUGGGAUAACUUCGGGAAACCGGAGCUAAUACCGGAUAAUAUAUUGAACCGCAUGGUUCAAUAGUGAAAGACGGUUUUGCUGUCACUUAUAGAUGGAUCCGCGCCGCAUUAGCUAGUUGGUAAGGUAACGGCUUACCAAGGCGACGAUGCGUAGCCGACCUGAGAGGGUGAUCGGCCACACUGGAACUGAGACACGGUCCAGACUCCCACGGGAGGCAGCAGUAGGGAAUCUUCCGCAAUGGGCGAAAGCCUGACGGAGCAACGCCGCGUGAGUGAUGAAGGUCUUCGGAUCGUAAAACUCUGUUAUUAGGGAAGAACAAAUGUGUAUGUAACUAUGCACGUCUUGACGGUACCUAAUCAGAAAGCCACGGCUAACUACGUG